CUGUUAACCUUCUCCUGGUAUUUUCUGCAAGAAACUAGUAGUUUUGAGCCUAGCCUAUAUCGUUUUUGAUGCUAUAUGUUUUUCAAGUUAUUGUCCUUGCAUUUAAUUUUCUUUUUAUUGGGCUGUGCUCCUAAGGUAUGGACUCUGCAUACUGUUCUUGUUUUCCUUUGCUUGUGUUGCAUUUAAUUUCUUUUUGGCUGAGCUCUGUACCUAAGAUGUAGCGCGUUUGAACUUUUGGCAUGCCAUGCUUAUUAUUUUCUAUGUAUUGUGUGAUUUCAGGCUAUGUCAAGGUAUGUUCGCAGGGAAUCCAACUGUCUGUCAUUUACAGGUACUAAUUUCUGCCUCAAACAAAUACGUAUAAUUUCAAUUUAUGUGAGAAGGAUGUUAGAACUUGUUUACUGAGGGCUUUCAUGCUCUUAAUAUCCCCUUUCAAAGAGAUGCGGAAAAGUCUUAAACAAUGCGAGGCACCAUAAGUUACUGUUUUUUCUCAUUAUCUAUAUUUGUGAUGUAACGUUUCACAUCUGCAAACCACCCACCAUUCAAAAGGAAAGAUAGAGGAAAUAGGAUAAGAAAAUCUUUUACAGGAUACCCUGUUGCUUUCAAAUCGCCAGUUUGGGGGUUGAAAAAUGCUUAUCCUGGUUUCGGGAUGACUCAAUUGUUGAAAAUAUAAUUAACUAAUAAGAAGUGUGAUUUCUCUAACAGCUUAAGCACUUCAACAUGGUAUUAGUGCAGGCAGAGGUCCUUGGAUCGAAUCUCACCGCCACCCAUAUCAAAAAGAAUUUCCACGUGCUUGGCCCAUGAAAAAAUAUCAGGCCCGCACGUCGGGGGCGUGUUGAGAUUAUAAUUAACUAAUAAAAAGUGUGCUCUCUCUAACAAUUUAAUUUUUAGAUGAGAUGGUCACACACUUUAGCAUCAAUGCUAUAUAUACUCUUGAAUACAAUAAAAUAGUUUCGGUACUCUUGAAUACUUUACCAGUCCCAAAUAGAUAUUUUUUCUGCAUUUCAAAUGUUUCCAUGAGUAUUUUCUAUGAACCUCGAUAGAGUUAAGUUGCGCGGACUUCACUUUUAAUGCUGCACUCGUGUCGGGUUCUCCAAUACUUUUGGAGAAUCCGACAUGCACCUGUUGACAUUCUUGAUGAGUCCAAGCAACAUAGCUAAUUAGCGACAGUCAUUAGGAUGCUUGAUUGUGAUUUUAGUUGUUAUUUCUGUGUACAUGGUAGUCGUUGAAGUGAUUCUUUGCUUAUGUCCAAUUAUUUGUGACGAUGUUUUGCAUGAGGCCGCCUACCUUAGAGUUGGUUGAAUUCAAUCCAACCAUUCAAUUUGCAUGCUUCACUUAAACAAAAUGGGGCAAGGUCUUGUUUGGACACUGUAUUUAUUUGCAUUUAUUUCUGUGUUUUCAUUCCCAUAUCCAUGAUGCAUGGUUGAUCCUAGCCUUUUAUCAUCUGAAGCAGCCCAAUUUUCAUAUGAACCAUGUUAUGGGCACAAAAAUACCAAGAAGACGCAGGAAAUUUUGCUACUUCCUUUUUCCUAAUCGAAUCCUUAUUGUUAACCUGUAAUAAGAUAAUAUUACGAAUUUCAAGGACUAUGUUAACACUGAUGUUGCUUUUGGUUUGACAGAUAAGGAAGCUAUGUUUUCAGGGAACUUCAUGUUCACCUCAUUGGGCAGCACAAUAGCUGGUACAGUGUAACGACUAACGAUGAGAGAAAUGAAAACCAAACAUGCUCAUUAAGCACACCAAAAUGCAUGGAGAGAUCCAGGCCUUCUGUCAAUGAUAUUAUAGAAGAAAUUGCUGAUUGUUUAAUUAAGCAAGAGAUGUGAUGUCCGCUAUUAUCCAUCUUUGGUUAACUUGGUAUAAAUCUGAAGCUGCUGGUUUUUUGUUCCCCAGCAUGAAACUUGGAUAAAAAUAUCUUACUGUCAUUUGUUAAUUGCUUUGAUUUUAAAUCAUACAAAGUAAUAUAGGAGAGUUCAAGAUUUGGAAUUAUGGAAGUGUGGUAUAUUUCUGUUUUUUAUUUUGUGGGAAAUGUACAAGGGGUGAGUUUACAGCUUAAAUUGAUCUUGUUUGCUGUGGAAAGAUCGUGGUUAACUAGCACACAAUUAUACACAAAAUAAAUAGAGAAAAA
rnacentral:lncRNA from 1 species